rnacentral:rRNA from 1 species
UACGUAGGUGGCAAGCGUUGUCCGGAAUUAUUGGGCGUAAAGCGCGCGCAGGCGGUCCUUUAAGUCUGAUGUGAAAGCCCUCGGCUCAACCGAGGAGGGUCAUUGGAAACUGGAGGACUUGAGUGCAGAAGAGGAAAGUGGAAUUCCGAGUGUAGCGGUGAAAUGCGUAGAGAUUUGGAGGAACACCAGUGGCGAAGGCGACUUUCUGGUCUGUAACUGACGCUGAGGCGCGAAAGCGUGGGGAGCAAACAGG